CCCUCUCUUAUACAGGCACCUCUGAGAGCGUGAGAGAAAGGAAGUGAGAAACCCUUUUUAGAAAAAAACAUGGGCAGCAUCCCUUGUGAACAAGAAUCUUGGGUUUCUACGAGAAACCUAGGAAAUGUUCAAGAAAAUGAUCAAACCCAUAGCCUAGAUUUUCUUGAUGAUGAUAAUUACAAUGAUGAUGAUCUUUUGUGUCAAGAGACUGAGCAAGUGUGGCAAAACAUGAACCAAAACAACACCUUUACCAAAAACUUCAACAAGGGUUCUCUUCGAAAGAUCCUGAGAAAGAAGAGUCAAGUGCUGUUAGAAGGGUAUGUGGAAGGAAGAAGUAACAGCGAAGAUGAGUUGAAGAGGACAAAGAGUUUGACAGAUGAUGAUCUUGAUGAGUUAAAAGGGUGCUUGGAUCUUGGGUUUGGUUUUAGUUAUGAUGAGAUCCCUGAGCUUUGCAAUACUUUGCCAGCUCUUGAACUUUGUUACUCAAUGAGUCAGAAGUUUCUUGACGAGCACCAGAAGCCUCCUGAGAGUUCUUCUCCUGCUGAGGCCGAGGCUGAGGCUGCAAGUUCUAGUCCCAUUGCUAAUUGGAAGAUCUCUAGUCCUGGUGACCAUCCUGAAGAUGUUAAAGCAAGACUCAAAUUUUGGGCACAGACUGUGGCAUGCACUGUUAGAUUAUGCAGCUGAAGGGCAUUUUGAAAUCGAAAGCUUCAAACAGCUGAAGGUUCAUCUUUUUGGGAAGAUCGGAUGCUCAUUUUCCUUGGCAGUGGGCAAUCAAUAGCCUAGACCUACAUCUAGUGCUUAUGCGGUUAUGCCUCACUGAUCCAUUCCAGUGCGCAACAAUUUGGAAGAAUUAAAGCUCCUGCAUUUUCUUUAGCUGGAAUGGACCGGCCAGAGCAUAUGCAAUGAUGGGCUGGCUUUAAAGUAGAUGAAGAGAAAUGUUUCAGUAGUGUGAGCCUCUCCCCUAGAGCCUUCACCAAAUACUUCCAGACCUCUGCGAUUGCUGAGAUUAGCUACCCCAUAUUGGCUGGUGGUGGAGGCGGCAAGUAAGAAAGGGGGAUAAAGAAGUGAAGAGGAACAAGCUGAAGCAUAUGCUGAACCCUAUUGCUAUAAAAAAUUAAGCUUUGACUUGCAAACCAAAGGUUGAGGUUUCGAUACAUGUUAUAGAAUGCUAUGAUUUUUAUCCGUAAGGUACUCGUCUUUCUGUGCACUUGCAGUUAAGCAAGUCAAUUUGUUUGAUAACUUACAAUGGUUGGUUUAGGGUGAUGAUGUUCCCUUGUUCUGAGAAGAAAACUAACUUAGCCACCACACAAAGCAGCUGCGACAGCACUUCUUUGCCUUGUACAGGCUGGUAGUUAAAACUAAUCUAUGAAGGUAAGCAGUGGUCUGUGUGGCCGCUGCAAAGUGCCUCUACAUAUCAUCAGCAGUGUUGACAACUGCAGGGUUAGACCUUUCUAUAGCUGGGAAUUUUAUCCAAAGGGAAUGGCUGGAAAUAUCUGUCUACGUUGUCAAUUUGGACUAGUGGCAGAUUAAAAGCUCUAGAAUGCAAGAGAUUCUCCACUUUAGGAAGUUUGUCGAGAGUCUUCUUGUAAUGUAUUAAAUUGGAUGCAGGUAUUCUUUCUUGACAAUUGGUUUCGUGUUAGGAAAUUA